rnacentral:rRNA from 1 species
UCCAUAGGUUAAUGAGGCGAACCGGGGGAACUGAAACAUCUAAGUACCCCGAGGAAAAGAAAUCAACCGAGAUUCCCCCAGUAGCGGCGAGCGAACGGGGAGCAGCCCAGAGCCUGAAUCAGUGUGUGUGUUAGUGGAAGCGUCUGGAAAGGCGCGCGAUACAGGGUGACAGCCCCGUACACAAAAAUGCACAUACUGUGAGCUCGAUGAGUAGGGCGGGACACGUGGUAUCCUGUCUGAAUAUGGGGGGACCAUCCUCCAAGGCUAAAUACUCCUGACUGACCGAUAGUGAACCAGUACCGUGAGGGAAAGGCGAAAAGAACCCCGGCGAGGGGAGUGAAAAAGAACCUGAAACCGUGUACGUACAAGCAGUGGGAGCACGCUUCGGCGUGUGACUGCGUACCUUUUGUAUAAUGGGUCAGCGACUUAUAUUCUGUAGCAAGGUUAACCGAAUAGGGGAGCCGAAGGGAAACCGAGUCUUAACUGGGCGUUAAGUUGCAGGGUAUAGACCCGAAACCCGGUGAUCUAGCCAUGGGCAGGUUGAAGGUUGGGUAACACUAACUGGAGGACCGAACCGACUAAUGUUGAAAAAUUAGCGGAUGACUUGUGGCUGGGGGUGAAAGGCCAAUCAAACCGGGAGAUAGCUGGUUCUCCCCGAAAGCU